CAACAAGUCACAUGACCCAACCCAACAACCACGAUGGCGACGUUUGGAGACUUUGGAGACGCCGGGAGACGUUGGCGGUGGUGGUGGCGACUACAACGACAACGACAAUGGAAAUGGCGGAAUGACAAGGGGAGCAGCAGCAGCCCAACAAAUUGACUAUCAUUAUCAAUGGCCUAUUAUAAACAGUUAUAUAUAUGUGCGAGCAACGACCUUCACCUUCACCCCGUGUGCCAACUGAGCAGGGAAGUACGAGUAUGUGCAAAUAAUGAAUGUCAAGUUCAAGGCAAUUGGCAAAAUCCGCUUCCUCAGGCUACGAGGUGUGUGGAGGCUCUGGCGACUGGUAAUGGCCAGAGCAACAUAAGUUAUUUAUCAGUCGAUGCGGACAAUGUACGAGUACGAGUGCGAAGCACACACCGUCCGUAUGUCGCUCACAAUACUAAUGAGCAAAUGACGACAAAAACAUCGAGUGAUUUUCAUUGUCACUUGAGAGCAAUGCAAACAGACCCCAGACCUCACCAGACUACAACGACAACGAUGACGAUGACAACCGAUCCGAGGUCUGGAGGAGGGCGGCGCAAUCAAUCAAUGAAUGGCCCCACCAAAGGCGGAGGCAGAGGCAAGGCAAUGACAAGUGUGGGCGUUCCGCAGAGCACUUGUGACACCUGGCAAACACCAGAACACACACCAGCAAAUAGUGACUCAAGUGCUGGGAGCCCCUGAAAGCAGAUGACGACAUCUCAGUGGAUCUUUUUGUAUUUCACCUUAAUCCAACAAUGUCUCAUCAUCAUCAGCUGUAGCAGCAGCAGCACAGCAGCAAAUGAGUAGAAAUUCAGAGAAACUUCCGUAAAUUUCAAGGAAAUAUAAAAAAUGUUAAUGAAAAGAUUGCGGCGGGUUCUGGCUUGAGGGAUCAAUUAAAAUUGUUUUGUGAAACGAAGAGCAUGUGAGUGAGCGAGAGCCCUUGAAGAUAAAGCAGAAUCCGAGUUCUUUGUUAGCUUUUCCAUAAUAUACACAUAAACCUUGUGAUUGGUCGAGGUCUGUGGCGACUGAAGUACGGAUCAGAAUUUGUUGACCCCUGAGAGUGUGUGUGCGCUACUGCUAUCUGAACGAUCUGUUAAAACAGGCAAUACAACUCGGAAACUUGUAAGC